CCGUGCUAGCCGGGGCGGUAGCGGUGUCCUGUACCCACAAUCCGCUAAAGUGGGGGUGAAGCCCGCUCUCGACGGGGCGUUUCAUGGUCUGCCCUCCGGAAGUGGUGUUGAAGUUCGGGUCUUACGCAACAGGAGCCUGUGAACCGUGUCAGGGCCGGAAGGCAGCAGCACUAAGCAGUCCCCUCCUGUGUGCGCUGAGGCAGCCCGGGUGGAGCCAUAGAAGGAGGUAACGCAUGGGGCAAACCGGCAACAGCGGGCGCACGG
rnacentral:SRP_RNA from 1 species